rnacentral:rRNA from 1 species
CCAGACUCCUACGGGAGGCAGCAGUGAGGAAUAUUGGUCAAUGGGCGGGAGCCUGAACCAGCCAAGUCGCGUGAGGGAAGACGGUCCUAUGGAUUGUAAACCUCUUUUGUCGGGGAGCAAAAGACGCCACGUGUGGCGUUCCGAGAGUACCCGAAGAAAAAGCAUCGGCUAACUCCGUGCCAGCAGCCGCGGUAAUACGGAGGAUGCGAGCGUUAUCCGGAUUUAUUGGGUUUAAAGGGUGCGUAGGCGGGAUGCCAAGUCAGCGGUAAAAAUGCGGUGCUCAACGCCGUCGAGCCGUUGAAACUGGCGUUCUUGAGUGGGCGAGAAGUAUGCGGAAUGCGUGGUGUAGCGGUGAAAUGCAUAGAUAUCACGCAGAACUCCGAUUGCGAAGGCAGCAUACCGGCGCCCUACUGACGCUGAGGCACGAAAGCGUGGGUAUCGAACAGGAUUAGAUACCCCCGUA